GAAAUCAAGGCUGAGGCGUGAUGACGAGGCACUACGGUGCUGAAGCGACAAAUGCCCUGCUUCCAGGAAAAGCCUCUAAGCAUCAGGUAACAACAAAUCGUACCCCAAACCGACACAGGUGGUCAGGUAGAGAAUACCAAGGCGCUUGAGAGAACUCGGGUGAAGGAACUAGGC
rnacentral:rRNA from 1 species